CGACGUACGAACACCACCCGGCGGGGGGGCGCUGCAGUGCGUAUACGCUCUUUUAAAGAUUAAGACCAUGCAUGUGCUAAGUUCAUACAUUUCAAAUGUGAGACUGCGGACGGCUCAGUAUAUCAGUUAUAAUCUGCUCGAUUGUCAAGGUUAUUGGAUAACCGUGGGAAAUCUAGAGCUAAUACAUGCACCCCGGGGCGGGUCCCCUCGCCCCUUGCAUUUAUUAGAACAACACCAACAGUGUGCCCCGCACACUUGGCGAAUCUAGAUAACUGUGCAGAUCGUAUGGCCUCGAGCUGACGACAUUUCGAUUGAAUUUCUGCCCUAUCAACUGUGUUGGCAGUGUAGUGGACUGCCAAGGUUAUAACGGGUAACGGGGAAUCAGGGUUCGAUUCCGGAGAGGGAGCCUGAGAAACGGCUACCACAUCCAAGGAAGGCAGCAGGCGCGCAAAUUACCCAAUCCAGACACUGGGAGGUGGUGACGAAAAGUACCGAAUGGCGGCCAAUGGUCGCUAGUUUGGAAUGAAGACAAUUUAAGCAAUUGAAUUGAGUAACGACUGGAGGGCAAGUCUGGUGCCAGCAGCCGCGGUAAUUCCAGCUCCAGUAGCGUAUCUCAAAGUUGCUGCGCUUAAAACGCUCGUAGUUGGAUCAUGCACUACGUCCUGGUGUACCAUGGUGCUCGCGCAACAAACCCUGCGACCCAGGUUCGUGAUCUCACGCUUCCUGCGGUGCGGGUGCCCUGCAUCCGUUGGUAAUUAGCCAGGGCGUAGUAAUUGCACGUGGGGAUGGUCGUUAGCCUUGAGUGCGCUGACUGCCGUGUCCCACGGGGUGUGCCUUGAGUAAAUCAGAGUGCUUAAAGCAGGCUUUAGCUUGAAUGUUGAUAGCAUGGAACGAACAAUCGUGUAUAGAGUGCGCUGGUACCGGUCGGUGGUUUUUUCCGCCGACUGCAGCGCACGACACCGACCACCAAUUACGGAUGUUGGUUCCGUAUUGGGGUACUGAUAGAGAGCGUGGGGGCAUGUAUUGCACAGAGGGUGAGUAGUAUAUAUAUAUUAACGACCGUGCUGGAC
rnacentral:rRNA from 1 species